rnacentral:rRNA from 1 species
UACGGGGGGAGCAAGCGUUGUUCGGAUUUACUGGGCGUAAAGGGCGCGUAGGCGGUCAGCACAAGUCAGUUGUGAAAUCUCCGAGCUUAACUCGGAAAGGUCAACUGAUACUGUGCGACUAGAGUGCGGAAGGGGCAACUGGAAUUCUUGGUGUAGCGGUGAAAUGCGCAGAUAUCAGGAGGAACACCGGUGGCGAAGGCGGGUCUCUGGGCAGUAACUGACGCUGAGGAGCGAAAGCGUGGGGAGCGAACAGG